AAAUUGAAGAGUUUGAUCAUGGCUCAGAUUGAACGCUGGCGGCAGGCCUAACACAUGCAAGUCGAACGGUAACAGGAAGCAGCUUGCUGCUUCGCUGACGAGUGGCGGACGGGUGAGUAAUGUCUGGGAAACUGCCUGAUGGAGGGGGAUAACUACUGGAAACGGUGGCUAAUACCGCAUAACGUCGCAAGACCAAAGAGGGGGACCUUCGGGCCUCUUGCCAUCAGAUGUGCCCAGAUGGGAUUAGCUAGUUGGUGAGGUAACGGCUCACCAAGGCGACGAUCCCUAGCUGGUCUGAGAGGAUGACCAGCCACACUGGAACUGAGACACGGUCCAGACUCCUACGGGAGGCAGCAGUGGGGAAUAUUGCACAAUGGGCGCAAGCCUGAUGCAGCCAUGCCGCGUGUAUGAAGAAGGCCUUAGGGUUGUAAAGUACUUUCAGCGGGGAGGAAGGUGUUGUGGUUAAUAACC
rnacentral:rRNA from 4 species